rnacentral:rRNA from 1 species
CCUACGGGUGGCAGCAGUGAGGAAUAUUGGUCAAUGGGCGGAAGCCUGAACCAGCCAAGUCGCGUGAGGGAGGAAGGCCCUACGGGUUGUAAACCUCUUUUGCCGGGGAGCAGUGCCCAGCUCGUGAGCUGGGAGGGAGCGUACCCGGAGAAAAAGCAUCGGCUAACUCCGUGCCAGCAGCCGCGGUAAUACGGAGGAUGCGAGCGGUACCCGGAUUUAUUGGGUUUAAAGGGUGCGUAGGCGGGCCUUCCGGCCGGCGGUAAAAUUGCGGGGCUCAACCCGGCCGCGCCGCGGAGACCGGGGGCCUUGAGUACCGGAGAGGUACGCGGAAUGCGUGGUGUAGCGGUGAAAUGCAUAGAUAUCACGCAGAACCCCGAUUGCGAAGGCAGCGUACCGGCCGGUCACUGACGCUGAGGCACGAAAGCGCGGGUAUCGAACAGGAUUAGAUACCCCAGUAGUC